UGGCCGCAGUAUUUUGACUGUGCAAAGGUAGCAUAAUCAUUAGUUUCUUAAUUGGAAGCUGGUAUGAACGGAUUGAUGAGAAAUUAUCUGUCUCUGCUUAAUUUUUAGAAUUUUAUUUUUGAGUGAGAAAGCUUAAAUUUAGUUAAAAGACGAGAAGACCCUAUAGAGUUUUAUUAAAUAAAAAUUUGUUUAUUAGGUUUAAAAUAAAUUUUUUAUUAAUUUGGUUGGGGUGAUUAAUAAAUUUAGUUAACUUUAUUUUAUUUGGACUUUUAUUUUAGGAUAUUUGAUCCUUUGUUUUGGAUUAUAAGAUUAAAUUACCUUAGGGAUAACAGCGUUA
rnacentral:rRNA from 1 species